CUUGUACUGCUACCAGUUGCAGCUCGCAUCAAGUUCAAUACAUUGAUAGAUUCAAGAUUCAAGACAUUGGGGGCAGCUGUGGCCUAAUGGUUAGAGAGUUGGACUUCUAACCCGAGGGUCACAGUUUCGAGUCUCGGUGCUGGCAGGAGUUAUAGGAGGGGGAGGGAGUUAAUGAACAGCGCUUUCUCCCACCCUCAAUACCCAUGGCUGAAGUGCCCUUGAUCAAGGCACUGAACCCCCAGUUGCUCCCAGGGCUCUGGAUAUAGCUGCCCACUGCUCCGGGUGUGUAUUCAAAUGGGUUAAAUGCAGAGCACCAAUUCCGAGUAUGGGUUACCAUACUUGGUAAAUGUCACGACUUUCACUUGAUGCUUGCAUAUAGAACAUGCACAGGCUCAGCACCUGCCUAUUCCACUCACUAUUACGAAUACUACACUGUAUUGUGUUGUUUAAAGCUUGAACCUGUUUUCUUUGCAUAUUAGAGGUCUGAAACCCUACAUAUUUUUUGAUAUUUCGACCAGUGUUAUUUUCUGCAAAUAAAUGCUCUAAAUUACAAAUGUGAUUGUCAGUAGUUGUCAGUACAGAUAAAAAUGUUUUCAGUAGAUUAUAUAUAAAAAAAAAAAACAAUGUUCAUUUUACUCAAAUACAUAUACCUAUAAUUAGUAAAAACAGAGAAACUGCUAAUUUUGCAGUGGUAAUUUUUUUUUUUUCCAGAGCUGUCUAUAAAGUCUUUACAUAUUUGUUGUUUGAUAAACACCAAAUACAAAAAUUCAAGUGGCUGUUUGAAAACAUGUAAACACUGUUUGACAACUCUGUGACAAGUGGGUGUCAGAAACAAAAAAGUUGUCCAAAGCAGCUUUGUUUACAGAGGCAACAGGGGUAGCAGUUUGAUCAGAAGACCAUACAAUCCACUGUAUCAAAGGCAGGAGAGAAGAAAAAGAAGGAGCAGUUUAAAAGGCUCAUUGCAGGCACUGUUGGGAAACCCCUUGGACAGCAGUUAAGAAGGAAGUACAUAUCCGAAACCUUCCAUCUCUAUUUAAGAAGCCAAAGCCUACGAGAGAUAUGCUGGAGAACACUGAUACUGCAGUAUCCAUCUGAACAGGCUUUUUGGGGCAUGAAUGGUUUAUUAAAAAGAAAGAAGACAAGGACUUUUGUGUUUAAUGUUAUUUGGAUGUACAUUUUUUUUUCUCUUCUUUUGUAUGGUUUUUAGGUAACAUCUGUAUCAUUAUCAGUUAAUGAAUAACAAAAAAUUGCUGUAAGAGCACCUCAUUGAAAAAACAAAAAAAAACAAUUGAAAAAUAAAACCAAAUACCUUUGAAAAAGUUAAAUGAGAAGUCUUGUUAAUUACAGUACCAUAUCUUAUCUGAUCCAGCACUACAUUCCAUUAUGAUGCAAUGGCCAAUUUUUAAAUAAAUAACACAUUCAACACUAAUUGCCAUUUGACAUGUCUGUGUACAGAUUGUGUAAAAAGUGUUGUGAUUUAUACACUGCAAUUUUAAAUAAAUGUGUACUUGGACAGAUUACACUGAUUUUAUGGACUUUUUCUUAAAUUCUGAAAUGUAAAGAAUAUUGUAAUUUGCCAGAAGUGAAGGAGUAUUGACUGCAUAAAUUAUUUGCUUACUAUGACAAGCCUGUGUGUAUGUAUAUGUGUAUGUGUAAUUUGCAGGUGGAACAUCUCCCCAACACUUUUUGACUUUAUUUUAAAAAACAAGCCUAACAAAAAGAAAGCUUAUAGUGUUAUGUAAUAUAAAAUGAAAACUAUUCCAAUCCAUUGUUCUUCAUAAUUUGAUUCAUUUAUGUAAUACAAAACACAUUUGCACCGUUCAGACAAGCCUGAUCUAUAAACCACAUAU
rnacentral:lncRNA from 1 species